GCGAGAGGCGACACGCUAAAUGUGCGGAGAGUCCUGGCUCGCCAGGCAAUCCGCAGUCACCCUCGGGUGAUUCAGAGACUCAAUGAGCGUGGGUUCUUUUAAAGAGCUUGAGAUAGAGCCCGUCCUCGCUGGUCACGGCGGGGGUUCAACGGAACCUGCGGAAGGAUCAUUAAAGAAUAAACGGGCCUCCGGGCCCCCUAUUCUCACCCUAUGUUUACCACACUUUGUUGCCUUGGCGCACUGCGCCAGCGGAUCAAAACCCUUGAAUCAUUGCUGUCUGAGUACUAUAUAAUAGUUAAAACUUUCAACAACGGAUCUCUUGGUUCUGGCAUCGAUGAAGAACGCAGCGAAAUGCGAUAAGUAAUGUGAAUUGCAGAAUUCAGUGAAUCAUCGAAUCUUUGAACGCACAUUGCGCCCUCUGGUAUUCCGGGGGGCAUGCCUGUUCGAGCGUCAUUACAACCCUCAAGCUCUGCUUGGUAUUGGGCUCGCCCUGUAGGGCUUGCCUCAAAGUCAGUGGCGGCUACCGUCCGACCUUCAGCGCAGUACUAUUCGUCGCUGUUAGGGAAGGCCUAUAACCCGUCAUCACAACCCCCACUUUACAAGGUUGACCUCGGAUCAGGUAGGGAUACCCGCUGAACUUAAGCAUAUCAAUAGGCGGGAGGA
rnacentral:rRNA from 1 species